UGCAGUCGAGGGGCAGCGGGAAAAAGCUUGCUUUUUUGCCGGCGACCGGCGCACGGGUGCGGAACGCGUAUGGAACCUGCCCCUGUCAGGGGAAUAGCCCAGGGAAACUUGGAUUAAUGCCCCAUGGUACCGUUACAUCGCAUGAUGUUUCGGUUAAAGAUUUAUCGGACAGGGAUGGCCAUGCGUACCAUUAGUUAGUUGGCGGGGUAACGGCCCACCAAGGCAGCGAUGGUUAGGGGCCCUGAGAGGGGGAUCCCCCACACUGGUACUGAGACACGGACCAGACUCCUACGGGAGGCAGCAGUGAGGAAUAUUGGACAAUGGGCGGGAGCCUGAUCCAGCCAUGCCGCGUGCAGGAUGACUGCCCUAUGGGUUGUAAACUGCUUUUAUACGGGAAGAAACGCACCUACGUGUAGGUGUCUGACGGUACCGUAAGAAUAAGGACCGGCUAACUCCGUGCCAGCAGCCGCGGUAAUACGGAGGGUCCGAGCGUUAUCCGGAAUCAUUGGGUUUAAAGGGUCCGUAGGCGGGCCUGUAAGUCAGGGGUGAAAGUUUGUGGCUCAACCAUAAAAUUGCCUUUGAUACUGCAGGUCUUGAGUCAUGGUG
rnacentral:rRNA from 1 species